UUACGGCCAUAUCACGUUGAAACACCAGUUCCCGAACGAACAUCGAAGUUAAGCAACGUUGAGCCUUAUCAGUACCUAGAUAGGUGACCUC